rnacentral:rRNA from 1 species
GACGAACGCUGGCGGCGUGCUUAACACAUGCAAGUCGAACGGAAAGGCCCUGCUUUUGUGGGGUGCUCGAGUGGCGAACGGGUGCGUAACGCGUGAGUAACCUGCCCUUGACUUUGGGAUAACUUCAGGAAACUGGGGCUAAUCCCGGAUAGGAGCUCCUGCUGCAUGGUGGGGGUUGGAACGUUUCGGCGGUUGGGGAUGGACUCGCGGCUUAUCAGCUUGUUGGUGGGGUAGUGGCUUACCAAGGCUUUGACGGGUAGCCGGCCUGAGAGGGUGACCGGCCACAUUGGGACUGAGAUACGGCCCAGACUCCUACGGGAGGCAGCAGUGGGGAAUAUUGCACAAUGGGCGGAAGCCUGAUGCAGCAACGCCGCGUGCGGGAUGACGGCCUUCGGGUUGUAAACCGCUGUCGCCUGUGACGAAGCGGGAGUGACGGUAAUGGGUAAAGAAGCACCGGCUAACUACGUG